UACGGAGGAUGCGAGCGUUAUCCGGAUUUAUUGGGUUUAAAGGGUGCGCAGGCGGGAUGUUAAGUCGGCGGUGAAAUUUUGCAGCUCAACUGUAAAAGUGCCUUCGAUACUGGCUUCCUUGAGUGUGGAUGAAGUAGGCGGAAUUUGUGGUGUAGCGGUGAAAUGCUUAGAUAUCACGAGGAACUCCGAUUGCGCAGGCAGCUUACUAAACCACUACUGACGCUCAUGCACGAAAGCGUGGGGAUCAAACAGGAUUAGAUA
rnacentral:rRNA from 1 species